CCUUCUACUCUUUUUUUCUUUAAGAUUUUAUUUAUUUAUCUGAGAAAGAGAGAGAGAGAGAGAGGAAGAGAGUGAGCAUGAGUGAGAGGAGGGACAGGGAGAGAGGAAGAAGCGGACUCUUCACUGAGCAGGAGUCCAGUGUGGGGCUCAAUCCCAGGACCCAGGGAUCAUGACCUGAACCAAAGGCAGAUGCUUAACUGAUUGAGCUACCCAGGGGCCUCAUCCUUCUUCUACUCUUACCCCUUACAACCCAUUCCUGACACAAUAGCCAGAAUCAUCUUGAAAAAAUACCAACCAGAUCAUGUCACUCCUCUGCUCAGAACUCUUCCAUGGCCUCCUGUUGCGCUUAGACCAAAAUCCCAAUGCCUCACCAUGGCUACUAGGUUGUAGAUGAUCUGAUGGCCCCGCACAUCUCUGUGUCCUCCGGCUCUCACUAGUGCCCCCUCUACUCAGACUCUGUACUUUUCUCCAUUUUUCAAGCUUCAAGGAUCUUGACCUUGGCGCUUUGUGGCAGGCAUGCUUGCUCCAGGCAUUUGGAUGUCUGACUUUGUAUCUAUCAGCUCUUGCAUCCUGUCCUCACAGAGGUCUUUCCUGGUCAUCCAAGGAGACUUAUCAGAAAUGAAAUUACUGCAUCAAAGGCAUAUGAAUCAAAGAAGAACUACAUGAAUUGAGAGAUGUUUCAUGCUCAUGGAUGGGAAGACUCAGUAUUGUCAACAUAUCAGUUCUUCCCAAGUUGAUCUAUAGAUUCAGUGCAACCCCAAUUAAAAUCCCAGUUUUUGUGGAGAGAGCAACCAAUUCUAAAGUUUAGAUGGAGGGGCACAUGACCUAGACCAGCAACAACAAUAAUGAAGAAUGAAGUUGGAAGAUCGUACUCUACCUAACUUCGGGGCUUACUACAAAGCUACGGUAAUCGAGAGAGUGCAGUUUUGGAGAAAAAAUAGAUAGAUCAAUAGCACAGAAUAGAGAGCCCAGAAAUAACCAAACCCCCAUAAUCAGUCAACUGAUUUUUGACAAAAGAGCAAAAGCAAUACAAUGAGGCAAAGAUAUUUUUCUCAACAGAUGGUGCUGGAACAACUGGAUGCCUACAUGCAAAAAAACAAAUUAAAAAAAUAUAUGAAUCUAGACACAGUCAUUAUACUCUACUCAAAAGCUAAUUCAAAAUAGAUCAAAGAGUGGGGUGCCUAGGUGGCUCAGUUGGUUUAGUGUCUGCCUUCAGCUCAGAUCAUGAUCUCAGAAUCCUGAGCUAGAGUUCCACAGUGGGUUCCUGCUCAGUGGGAAGUCUGCUUCUCCCUCUCCUCCCCGCUGCAACUUGUGCACCUGCUCUUUCUCUCUGCAUUCUCUCUCUCCAAUAAAUAAAUAAAAUCUUAAAAAAAAAUAGAGCA
rnacentral:lncRNA from 1 species